ACGGAUAAUGUCAACAAUGUCGGAUAAGAUACGGUUGGAUGUCGAUAUUAUAAAUAUACGAUUCAGGUAUUCGGAUACGGAAACGGUAUCGGAUAUUAAACAUUCGGACUCAGAUACGGACAGAUCUCAACCUCUCUAAACGAAUUCGGUCUCGAAUACGGUCGGAAAUCGUAUCCAAGGCCAGUGCGUGGAUCACCGUCACGUUCGUCGGGCUCCGCCCAGGGACAGACACCGAAUCUGAAUGAAGAGAAAAAACGUCAUCAAAGUUUUUUGGUUGGGAGUAUUUUUUAUGUUUAAUUAGCAAGUGACUCUUUUCCCCCCAACCAACCAUGCCGAACCUUGUACAAGAACGAAAAUAAACAAUGACCAGCACUCUACCCAACAGUGCUCGUGCCCUCCAUUUUUUUUUAAGAAAAACCCCGGCCGGCGGCCGAUCAGUUCUUCCCCCGCAGGCCCAGCGGUGCGCGCUCUCUCUCUGCUCCCAUCUUUCUCGGCGACGCCGCCGCAAGGUGUCCAGGUCGUAGCCGCCCGAUCGAUUCAGGUCGUCUUCGGGCCCUUGCGCUUCGCCGGCGGCGAGGAGCACCACCAGGUACGCCCACGCCUUGGUCUUCCCUUUCUGCUGCGCGAAACCGAUCCCCAAAAUCCUAAGUCCGUAACAUAACUUAGGCCUUGUUUAGAUGCAAACAAAAACCUAAAACUUUACAAGGUUCUCCAUCACAUCGAAUAUUGUGAAAUAUAUAACUACUUGCACAGUUUAUAUGUAAAUCGCGAAAGGAAUUUUUAAGCCUAGUUAGAUUGGAUAAUGUUUGUCAAAUAAAAAUGAAAAUGCUACGUUGUCAAAAUUUAAAAACUUUUUAGAUGUGAACAAGGCCUACUAUUUGCACUCGCGUCACAUCUAGUUACAAGUGUACGUAUAAGCAUUUAUUUAUCAUGGCUACUAACUUCGAUUAUUUUGCAAAAAGUUAUCGGCUGCCCUUUGCUGGGUCCGGCCCUGGUGAGUAGGCAGAAGUGACUCGAAAUCUUGAUUUUGCACUUCACUCUUUUCCCAAAAAGAAUUCACUUGUUUCCAAAAGAAUGAUUCGAACUUGGGACUACUGUGCAUCCGGAAUCGAUUGUGUUGUUUAGGGCCGGGACAGCAUAAGGUGGAAAUGUUUUUUUUUUUCAUUACUGCAGUCCAAAAGCAUUUGACUUGCAUGGACUGUGGACAAAGCAAAUUCUGUUGUUCCACAUGCAUCGCAUUGUUUGGCUAAACACCAUAGGGGGCACACGAUUCACACGAACACACCGCCUCCCUCUCCGCACCCUGUUUUCCUGCGCAAAUGCCCAUUUCUUCAUUUGUUUCUACAGUUGCUACAGUAGUGUUUCAUUGGAUGUCCAACUGACAGUGUUAUAUUUGUCUGUUGUUAUUGUUUAAUCAGUACGUAAUGCCACUUACUUUUAAUUUCCAUGUGUUCAUCCUCAGGAUUUUCUCCCACUUCUCCUGUUGCAAUGGAACAUAACUCUGCAGAGGACUCAGACAUUAGCGAUUCAGAUAUCGCUGAGCACAAGGAGAAGAUCUAUGCCCAAAUCCGAGCUGGAAAACUGAAAGUGAAGCGUGGCCAGGCCUUCGGCUGCCCUUUCUGCCCUGGCAGGAAGAGGCAGGACUACAACCUGAAGGAUCUGCUGCAGCAUGCCACAGGAAUAGGGGCUUCUUCUAAGCACACUGCCAAGGUGAGGGCAUCGCACCUGGGGCUUGCUAUGUUCUUGGAGAAGGAUAUAGCCAGCUCGUUGGACAAACCAUUGCAAAUUGUUCCCUACAAGCCAAAAACUCCAAAAGAUGAAGAUCUUUUUGUGUCGCCAUGGAUGGGCAUUGUGGUUAACUUACAGUGUGAGUUGAUGAAAGGCAAAGAAUUUUCCAGGGAAAGUGAAGAAAGACUAACAGCGCAGCUCUCGCGGUUCAGACCCCUCCAAGCCACGAUUCUUGGGGAUGAGAAGGACCAACCGUUUUGCGCUAUCAUCGAGUUUGCUAAGUACUUGAGUGGAUUUAAGGAUGCAAUGGCUUUUGAAAACCAUUUCAUACUCGAGCACUACAGUAAGCCUGAUUGGAAAAAACGAAAUUGCAGAAAGGACGAUCUUUAUGGAUGGAUUGCAAAAACAGAUGAUUUCAACUCCCCUGGGCCAAUUGGGGAGUAUCUACGGAAAAAUGGAAAUCUUAAAAGUGUCGCUGACCUGGAACGAGAGGGACUGAAAGAAACUGGCAAGCGUGUAGUUCAUUAUGCUCUCCAAAUUGAGGACACAAAUGAACACAUGCUUGAACUGGAGCAGAAGAAGAAUGUGAAUGUCAUGAAACUUUCUAGGAUGUUGGAGGAGAAUGAUCGAUUGGUUGAAGAGCACAAUGAAAGUAUGUACAUACAUUUUGGUCUUGCACUCGUUUUUACAUCAUAUAUAGCAUACUAAUUACUAAAUGAUAUUACUUGUUUUCUUUAUGUCGAAAUUUGAAACACAAAAUCUGAAUGGCUAAAUAUACUUGGAUUCAGCACGUUGUGGUCAUGUGCUCUCUGAAAUUACUGAGUUUGUUUUGCUCCUUUGAUCACCAGGGAUACUAAAAAUGCAGAAAGCUGCUCGUCGAAAUUCUUGGAAAAUAAUUAAUGACAAUAUUAAAUUGCAUGAAGAACUGGAAACCAAGAAAAAAGAAAUUGCCAGGAGACAUGAGGAACUCGAAAAGUCGGUUAUAAAUAGUACUGACAGAGAAAAGCUUGAAGCGACAAAAGAAGAGGUAUGUCCUCGUUAUGUUUUCUAAUACUGUUUGAUGUUCCUGAACUCAACAAGCUUCUCAUCUGUUUCUUAUUUAGUAUGUAUAUAUAUUUUUUCUGAGAUGUUAUUUAAUUUAAUAGUAUAUAUUUGCUAUUAAAUGCUCUUACAGAUUGCAAAGGAGAACAAGCUUCUUGAUUUAGCAACCCUAAAGCAGAAGGAAGAAGAUGAGAAGUUCUUAAAACUUGUUAAGGAACAAGAGGUAUUGCACUCUCACUAUUUUGGGCAUUUACCUGGUGAAAAUCCGUUCUAACUGGCCAAAAACUGCAGCAAGAGAAAGAAGAAAUUAUGAAGACGCUAUAUGAUUUAGAAAUGCAGUUGGCUUCCAAACAAAAACUUGAACUGGAAAGAGAACAACUGAGGGGGAAUCUUGAGGUACAGAAGCAUAUGGCAGAGGAAGAUGCAAAAUCGAAGGAGUUGCUCGAUAAGUUGCAUGAAGAACUUAAAGAGAAAGAUGAAGAAAUGGAGGGUAUUGAUUCUGUGAACCAGGCCCUUAUUAUUAAGCAUCGAAGAACCAAUGAUGAGCUGGAAGAAGCCAAGAAAGAACUGAUUACUGUAUAAGCUCUAUACUAGCGACUCAGCUUCUUCAGUUAUUUGUUCCUUUUUUUCUUUCUCUGAGAACAAUUUACUUGCUAUGUAGGGCCUAGUUAAUAUGUCAUCAGCUCGAUCCACUGUUGGUGUCAAAAGAAUGGGUGAGCUUGAUGAGAAAACUUUCCUUGCUGCUUGCAAAGAGAAAAUUGCAGAUGAGGAGGAGUUGGCAAUUCUGUGCUCGAAAUGGGAAGAUGAGAUCAGGCAUCCAGAAUGGCAUCCUUUCAAAGUUAUACAUGUUGGUGGAGAGGCAAAGGUGCUUCAUUCCUCACUGCUCAAUAGCUUCUCAUUUUCCCCUUUUAUGUAGUUUCUUGCAGUGGUUAGAAAAUGGGUAGCAGCAGCAGGUUCGUAGUUGUUCCUUUAAAAGGGUCAGAGAUGCUUUCUAGGUUUCUGGGUUUUUUUUGGGUGCCAUAGAGAUACAGAUUUUAUUUAACCGUAUUACUUUAUGAGCUACAAAUUUUUGAAUUAUUGAAUUGAGUUAUGUUAUUUCAGUAAUCCAUAAAAGCAGUGCUUUUUAUUUGUUAACUUGUAGGACUGUGAAAUAGUUCGUUUCCUGUUUUUCAUACCAUUGUUUCUUUGCUUGUUUGUGUGUUGCUGCUGUGACUUGGAUGCUAGUAGAUAAGAAAGUGUCGUUUGAGUUUAUAACCUUGUGGCUUGUGGGAAUAUGUACUAGAAACACUUUUUUAGGUAAUCAUCAUGGAAGUCCUUUGCUUGCAAUGUUCUUUGGACAUCAAAUACGUCACCUACUUAGAUAUUAUAGCAUGUCUGCGACACAUUAAAUUGGCAGAAUACUCUUUUGAACUGAAUGAAUUGUAAAUACCAUUAAUCUUUUUGAAGAACAUUUCCAGUUUUGUAAUUCAGGAAGAAAACCGAUUUGUAAACAAAGAUACAAAAAGCUUGAAAUAGUUUCACUGGAGCCAACUGUUACUGCACUUCCUUCUGUCCAUCUGUUCUCGAUUUAAUUUAACUGAGCUAUAUCCAAAAUAAGUUAACUUUCAAUUUUACCAUGUGUGCAUUGAGUCACUUUUAGAUUGCCCAGAUAGUAGCCAAGUCAUUAUUUUUAGCAUUUUCUUUGUGCUUCUGCCAUCCAACUUGUCAACAUUAGUACUUCCUACAAUUAGCACUACAGUAUUUUUCUUUUCCACACAAGAAUGUGGUGUGAAAGCGAAACCACUUCUGCUUGACACACUGACUGAAAUUCAAUACAAGUUCUUCAUGAAAUAGAAAAAAAAAGUAAUUUGUCGCAACAAAAUCCCUUCAGAAGCUGAAGCUGACUUUAGCUUGAAAUGCUUAUUAUUUCAGCUAACCUGUGUUGAAGCGUGCGUGCAGUGUCUAAACAACAUUCAUUGGCUGGUGCAGGAAAUAAUUAUGGAGGAUGAUGAGAAGCUGCAAGCUUUGAAGGCUGAACUGGGUGUGAAGGCACACGAUGUGGUGGUCAAGGCCCUCCGUGAGAUGAACGAGUAUAAUCCAAGCGGCAGGUACCCCAUACCAGAGCUGUGGAACUUCAGGGAGGACCAGAGAGCACCAAUGGGCGAGGCAGUAGCCUACAUAGUGAAGCGGUGGAAGGCGAACAAGAAGAAACACACCUACUACUGAUGAAGUAGCGCCUGAUGGCCCCUUGGCUUGCUGGACUGCGUUGUGCCAUUGGUUCCUGGGUGGCUGGGUCGAUGUCUCUGAGAAGUGAGAACUAGGAGCCUGAGACCCUCUACUGAUGAAACCUAGUACCAGUAGUACUACUAAAUUUGUCCGAUCUCUUGGACGGUUGGAUUUGCAAUGCAAUGGUCUAUGGCACCUAGUACAAAGAUCUAUUAUUGUGGAUAAAAAAACAUAGUGUGUUUAAUAAUUGGACUUUGCUAGAGCGUGCAUGUGCCGGAAAUUGGAUUUCCGGCUGCACAUUCCAAUUUGGGGAAAGAAAUUAUUUUGGUUGCCAAAAAAAGGAAAAAAAAAAACACAGACCAAAUCUAGGGUUCACUGAUUUUGAUGCCCUCGCCCCGACCGUUGGCCACCGCCCUGCCGCGGGCACUAGGGUCCCCUCCCCCCUCCCUUGCUGCCAUCUUUGGUAGCUUUGACGAGCAUACCUGUCGUUAUGUUCUCCAGCUCUGGAGAGCAUCUCCUGCUCUGACCUAGGCCGACUGCCCCUACUACUGUCAACCUUGAGCCGCCCAUUGACCAUCACCAAUUCCCCACCGCUUGCCUGUCUCCCUAAAUCCUCUUCUCUUUUCUAAGCUCACUGGAGUUGAGCAAGAGAAGGGGAGAGCUCGUCAGAACUCUAGAUAGCAGAUCCAAAAGGAGGACGAAGAGGCCUACCUGGCCGCAGAUUCGGUGCCCGCAUCCGCCAUGGCCGCACUUGGGGGAGGCGGUGGACGAAGAGGCCUACAUGGCGGCAGAUUCGGUGCCCGCAUCCGCCAUGGCCGCACGUGGGGGAGGCUGUGGACGAAGAGGCCUACCUGGCGGCAGAUUCGGUGCCCGCAUCUGCCAUGGCCGCACGUGGGGGAGGCGGUGGGGCACGGGUAUGGACACGAGGAGGCGGUGGGAUGUCGGUGUAGGCCGCCAGAGCUCAUCGAGCGCGGAUCUAGCCACUAGAGCUCACCGGGCGCAGAUCUAUCACGCUGCUGCCAUGGUUGCCUGAGAGAGAGAGAGAGAGAGAGAGAGAGAGAGAGAGAGAGAGAGAGAGAGAGAGAGAGAGUGGG
rnacentral:lncRNA from 1 species